GAUGAACGCUGGCGGCGUGCCUAAUACAUGCAAGUCGAGCGAACAGAUAAGGAGCUUGCUCCUUUGACGUUAGCGGCGGACGGGUGAGUAACACGUGGAUAACCUACCUAUAAGACUGUGAUAACUUCGGGAAACCGGAGCUAAUACCGGAUAACAUAUUGAACCGCAUGGUUCAAUAGUGAAAGGCGGCUUUGCUGUCACUUAUAGAUGGAUCCGCGCCGUAUUAGCUAGUUGGUAAGGUAACGGCUUACCAAGGCAACGAUACGUAGCCGACCUGAGAGGGUGGUCGGCCACACUGGAACUGAGACACGGUCCAGACUCCUACGGGAGGCAGCAGUAGGGAAUCUUCCGCAAUGGGCGAAAGCCUGACGGCGCAACGCCGCGUGAGUGAUGAAGGUCUUCGGAUCGUAAAACUCUGUUAUCAGGGAAGAACAAAUGUGUAAGUAACUGUGCACAUCUUGACGGUACCUGAUCAGAAAGCCACGGCUAACUACGUGCCAGCCGCCGCAGUAA
rnacentral:rRNA from 1 species